rnacentral:tRNA from 1 species
GGGUAUGUAGCUCAAGUUGUAGAGCGCGUGCUUAGCAUGCACGAGGUUCCGGGUUCCAUCCCCAGUUAACCUC